rnacentral:rRNA from 1 species
UACGGAGGGUGCGAGCGUUAUUCGGAAUUACUGGGCGUAAAGCGCGUGCAGGCGGGGAGGCAAGUCUGAUGUGAAAGCCCUGGGCUUAACCCGGGAAGUGCAUUGGAAACUGUCUUUCUUGAGUACUGGAGAGGAAGGGGGGAAUUCCCGGUGUAGAGGUGAAAUUCGUAGAGAUCGGGAGGAAUACCAGUGGCGAAGGCGCCCUUCUGGACGGUUACUGACGCUGAGACGCGAAAGCGUGGGGAGCAAACAGG